CCAGACUCCUACGGGAGGCAGCAGUGGGGAAUAUUGGGCAAUGGACGCAAGUCUGACCCAGCAACGCCGCGUGAAGGAAGAAGGCUUUCGGGUUGUAAACUUCUUUUCUCAGGGACGAAGCAAGUGACGGUACCUGAGGAAUAAGCCACGGCUAACUACGUGCCAGCAGCCGCGGUAAUACGUAGGUGGCAAGCGUUAUCCGGAUUUACUGGGUGUAAAGGGCGUGUAGGCGGGACUGCAAGUCAGAUGUGAAAAUUAUGGGCUCAACCCAUAACCUGCAUUUGAAACUGUAGUUCUUGAGUGAUGGAGAGGCAGGCGGAAUUCCGUGUGUGGCGGUGAAAUGCGUAGAUAUACGGAGGAACUCCAGUGGCGCAGGCGGCCUGCUGGACAUUAACUGACGCUGAGGCGCGAAAGCGUGGGGAGCAAACAGGAUUAGAUACCCCGGUA
rnacentral:rRNA from 1 species